AGUUAUUUUAGCACUUCGACUGAUUUGUCCGGAACUGCUACCAGAAAGGCUUUAUCUGCUCCUUCAAUCAUGUACUUCUCGCUGGCAAGACAAACAACAAAAGGGCGGCCACAGGCCAUUCUCCCGUACAUCUUCUCCUUGGCCAAUUUAGCUUCCGGCAUGCUCACGUAUUAUUAUGAUCCCCCGUCAGACUUGCAACCGUAGCCCGAAAAAUUUCCACUAACCCACAAGUUCCACAUGAACAACUACUCACAGACACAUCUAAUUGCUAUUUAACUACGAACAGAACAAUAACCUUAGCUGGAAAAAAUCUACUUUUGCUGUAUUUAACUUCCCC
rnacentral:lncRNA from 1 species